AGGUUGUGCUCUUUUGAGCGUGUGCAAGAUGGCUGCCACAAAAGUGUUUGAAGCUGCCGCGUUUGAAGCUGCCGCGUGUGUUUGAAGCUGCCGCAUUUGAAGCUGUCAGGUUUGAAGCUGCCGCGUGUGUUUGAAGCCGGCGCGUUUGAUGUUGCUGAUGAAACAAUGAAUGUUAACUCAAGAAAUGUGAAUUGUUUGUAAUUUCCUGUGGAAAAGCUUCAGACAUCUAACUUCAAGACAGAAGAAAAUGCAUCGUGUGUUAAUCAGGCAGAAGAAGGAAUAGAAAAAUAGGAGUCUGGAUGCAAACAUUUCAAAAAUCUCAGUGAUGUGAGCAUUUUUAUCUUGACUCAAUCAAAUUCUUUUCCCAGAGGCACAUGAGUUCUGCCACUGCAAAGCAGCCCAGAGAGACUGACUUCUGAGCCCAACGAUCCUGCACUGACAGCACCGCUGAUAAACCCGGGGAAGAGGCAGGAUGAGCCGCUGGAAGCGCUCCCUCCCCGGCCACUGAAGGGCUGCUUCCCAGAAGAUGGAGCUAUAUCCCUGAUAGAGCUGAUGGAGACCUUAGCUGGUGUGCACUGCCCAAGCCAGGAACGUGUCCUUGUGCAGCGGGACUGGCAGCCUGGGCUCUUCCUUUUCCCAGUGCCAAGUGUGCCCAGCUGAUGCUGCUCGUGGUGUGUGAG
rnacentral:lncRNA from 1 species